CAUGUGGUCAAAGAGGUAGUCGUGUGCGGCUACCAUGAUGUAGAUUUUCCUGCAAAAAUAUUAGUCUUGGUGCUAGCACGUCACCCCUGCACUUCCCUUUCAGCUUUACAAGCAAGAUGAAACAAAUGGGUUAUGUUAGUAUAAUCUUUAUAAGCAAGGAUGUCCUGAAUUUCACGGUUAAACCACCCAAAAAUCUAGCCAUAGCAGGUUCUUCACC
rnacentral:lncRNA from 1 species